rnacentral:rRNA from 1 species
AGUGAACGCUGGCGGCGUGCCUAAUACAUGCAAGUCGAACGGAGUGGAGCACGGGUGAGAAAUAUAUAGCUAAUCUGCCCCUUGCUGGAGGUCAACAGUUUGAAAUGAGUGCUAAUACUCCAUAGCAAGGGAUGAGACUAUAUCGUAUCAGCUAGUCGGGGGGGUAACGGCCUACCGAGGCUAUGACGCGUAACUGGUCGGAGAGGAUGAUCGGUCGCAUUCGAACUGAGACACGGUCCGAACACCUACGGGAAGCAGCAGAAGGGAAUAAUGGACAUUGGGGGUGAGUCUAACACAGAAACGGAUCGUGGAGGAUGACACUUUGCGGAGCGAAAAAUCCUUUUGAUGGGGAAGCGGUACCUAACGAAUAAGCACCGGCUAAAUCCGUGCCAACAGCCGCGGUAAUAC